AAGUGAUUAGUUUAAUUUUAGAAUUUCUGACUCUUAAUCGGAAGGUUUAUUUCUUA
rnacentral:tRNA from 1 species